rnacentral:rRNA from 1 species
GGUUGAUCCUGCCAGUAGCAUACGCUUGUCUUAAAGAUUAAGCCAUGCAAGUGUAAGUAUGAACAGGAAGGACUGAGAGACUGCGAAUGGCUCAAUAGAUCAGUGAUGAUUGGAGUGGAGGAUGAAAGGAGGAUAACUAUGGAAAAUCUAUAGCUAAUACGUGGGAGCCAUGUUCCCUUUGACGGGAAGGAGGGCAUUUGUUGGAGGGCCAAGCAGAGGGAGACCUCAGACAGGGUGAAGCACAACAACUGAGCAGAUUGAGACAGAGGUCUCGACAAGCCACACAGAUUU